GGGCUUGACAUCCCACGAACCUGCCUGAAAGGGUAGGCUGCCCGCAAGGGUAUGUGGAGACGGGUGGUGCAUGGCUGUCGUCAGCUCGUGUCGUGAGAUGUUGGGUUAAGUCCCGCAACGAGCGCAACCCUCACCCCCAGUUGCCACCGGGUACAGCCGAGGACUCGGGGGGAACUGCCCCCGUCAAGCUGAAGGAAGGCGGGGAUGACGUCAAGUCAUCAUGCCCCUUACGUCCUGGGCUACACACGUGCUACAAUGGCCAAUACAAAAGAAUGCGAGACCGCGUUGUGGAGCUGAUCCCAAUAAGUUGGUCUAAGUUCAGAUUGCAGUCUGCAACUCGCCUGCAGGAAAGAGGAAUCGCUAGUAAUCGCGCAUCAUCCCGGCGCGCUGAAUACGUUCCCGGGCCUUGUACACGCCGCCCGUCACACUACGAAAGCUUACUGUACUCGAAGUCGCUGAG
rnacentral:rRNA from 1 species